rnacentral:other from 3 species
UGCGGUCUGCGGCUCUCGACAGGAACACACAAUCCCUGGGGCCAUACCCGAUCCAAAGGGAGCUGUCCCUGACCCGGCCCGUGGGCUUGGUCAUAUGGCGCCCACCUACGUUUGUAGGCACCCAGGAUCGUAACUCUCCAUCGGCUCCGUGGAUCGCAC